rnacentral:rRNA from 1 species
UACGUAGGGGGCGAGCGUUGUCCGGAAUCAUUGGGCGUAAAGCGCGUGUAGGCGGCUUGCCAAGUCCGAUGUGAAAUCUCGGGGCUUAACCCCGAAACUGCAUUGGAAACUGGCUUGCUAGAGUCCGGAAGAGGAGAAUGGAAUUCCUGGUGUAGCGGUGAAAUGCGCAGAUAUCAGGAAGAACACCGGUGGCGAAGGCGGUUCUCUGGGACGGUACUGACGCUGAGACGCGAAAGCGUGGGGAGCAAACAGG